AUUUAAAUAGUUUAGUCAAAUAAAAUAUUAGUUUGUGGGACUAGAGAUGUAUAUUAAUACUUUAAAUA
rnacentral:tRNA from 1 species